AGCAAGAGAAAGCAAAGCAAAGCGAACCGAGCCAAAGCGCCACGAGCAUCGAUCAAUGGCCGGAGGAAAAGAAGAUUGGGUUUGGGGGAUAAGAAUGUUUGGCGGGCAGGGAUCACAGAUUCCCUCCCCUUCCAAGUCACGUAAAAAGGCGCAUUUUGCGCGAUCUAAGUGCGCAUUAGACGCGCACUUGUGGUGGUGAUAUGCUUUGGUUACCCCCUUUCCAUAACACCAUAUUUGAUCCCGCCUGCCUGCCUUCCCAUUGUCACUGUCAUUGUCAUUGUCAUCAUGCAGCUGUGCUCUCCUCUUCUUCUUCUCCCUUUGCUUUUCUCUACUGCUCCCUCCAGCUUCAUAUAGUGGCCGGUAGCUCAACGACAUCGUUGCUGGGUUCGUUUCGUUCACUGUGUAGAGAAAGAGUUACAACAUUGCCUCCUUGGGUUGUGGUGGAGAGGAGGAGAAAGUUCAGAAGCAGAGGAGGGCCUCUCUCUAUAUGGGAAGACGGCCGGAUAGGUCGCUAGGGGCAUCGGCGUGCUGCGAGCGAGUGGUGGCCGUCAUCUUCAUCGUGUGUAUUGCCCUUCUAGUGGUGAUGGUGGCGAUGACGAGUGGUGCUGGCGUGAGCAUAGGGCCGGCUCGAGCCCGCGGCAGAGUGACGAUGAUGAGCUCCCCGGCACAGAAGUCAGGUGGCGGACAAGCCGGCGAGGACGCGUACCGAAGCAGCAAGAGGAGGAUUCCCAAGGGGCCUGACCCUAUCCACAACAGGCGUGCCGGGAAGACGACGAUCGCGCCACGCCGGAGAGACUAGCACCGGCGAGAUGACGACCAUUCACCGGUGGUCUUAUCGGCUUCCUCCGGCAAACGUUGCUGCGACGGGGAAGCAGGAUGGGUUCCUUGGCUUGCUGGAAUGAGGCGGAGAGACCAGCUCUCCUACAAUGUGGAUUUUGGUAGUGGGGGUAAUGUACAAAAGUUGCGAUCUUCCCGCAAAAAAAUCUGUCAUUUUUUUGACCGAGAUUGAUCGACCGAUCUACCUUUCGCAUAUCCUUUCGAGAUUUCUUUUGAAUCCGUGGCGAUUUUGCCCAAAAAAUUGUUUCUAUAUGUGUGUGUAUUUAUCUGUCCGAGCAUGUACGCAGAUAAGCAGAUUGCUCUGCUGCGUCAGUACGUGAACUCACUGAUGAGCUCCCUAUAUGCCACUAGCACCUAUGUAAAUCAAGUUUUGUGGUUUGCAAUAACAACCAGAGAUUUGUCGAA